UUCAGAACAUGUGUUAUUUAUGGUUAAUCCAACAGUUGACUUGCUACUAACUAAUUUUCUUAUUCUGAUAGGUGUAUAGCUUGAUCUUAUGUGGCUACAGUAAACCUAAACCAUCUUUAUGCAUAUCUGCAUUGUCAUUCGUCAAGUUUUUCACAUCACUUGUGUCCAAUUUCCACAAUGCAGCCAUAUGUUUAGCUCUUGGAUCAUCAUGUUUCCUCAAGACAAAGUGAUAAAAAAGCACCAAAAAGAAGAGUCUAGCUGCUACAAGGAUGAGUAGUGGUCCAAAGAAAACCAUCACCAACUGAAAGAUUGUGAUCCACUCAAAGAGAUAUUAAACAAAUUUGUGGAAAUUCACAGAUAGAUUUCAUUCAAUCAACACUCAGUUUGAGAAUAAAGGCAGAUAGGAUUCAUUCAAUUCAAACACAUUACCAGACAAUCAAAAGUUUGCUUUCUUCUGCCAAGGAAUUAAGAGACUAAACACGUUGAUGAUUGAUUCAUUGACAAAGACAUCUCACAAUGUUAAUCCUCCAAUCCAUCCAAUACUUCAACAGAAAUAAGCCUGAUGCUAAUGCUAAAAGUA